GUCCCAUUAACGCAGUGGUUAGCGUGCUGCUCUUAUAUCUGCGUACCCUCCGUGCGUAGAAAAUGCUAAGGAAUGCAGAAGUCGCAAGUUCGAUCCUUGCAUGGGACA